rnacentral:tRNA from 1 species
GGUUCCAUAGUGCAGUGGUUAGCACGGCCGCUUUACACGCAGGAGGUCCUGGGUUCACACCCGAGUGGAGCCA